AAAGAAGUAAGCUAAAAUAAGCUACUGGACUCAUGUUCCAGAAAUGGUUUUGAAACCCUUCUUUA
rnacentral:tRNA from 1 species